CAGCCGCCACGGUAAUGCGGAGGGGGCUAGCGUUGUUCGGAAUUACUGGGCGUAAAGCGCACGUAGGCGGCUUGGUAAGUUAGAGGUGAAAGCCCGGAGCUCAACUCCGGAAUUGCCUUUAAGACUGCCGAGCUAGUAGGUGAGAGAGGUAAGUGGAAUUCCGAGUGUAGAGGUGAAAUUCGUAGAUAUUCGGAAGAACACCAGUGGCGAAGGCGGCUUACUGGCUCAUUCUAGACGCUGAGGUGCGAAAGCGUGGGGAGCAAACAGGAUUAGAGACCCCCGUAGUCCCUGUCUCUUAUAA
rnacentral:rRNA from 1 species